AGAGUUUGAUCCUGGCUCAGGAUGAACGCUAGCGAMAGGCUUAACACAUGCAAGUCGAGGGGCAGCAUAGAAGUAGCAAUACUUUGGUGGCGACCGGCGCACGGGUGAGUAACGCGUAUGCAACCUACCUAUCAGAGGGGAAUAACCCGGCGAAAGUCGGACUAAUACCGCAUAAAACAGGGGCACCGCAUGGUGAUAUUUGUUAAAGAAAUUCGCUGAUAGAUGGGCAUGCGUUCCAUUAGGUAGUUGGUGAGGUAACGGCUCACCAAGCCGACGAUGGAUAGGGGAACUGAGAGGUUGGUCCCCCACACUGGUACUGAGACACGGACCAGACUCCUACGGGAGGCAGCAGUGAGGAAUAUUGGUCAAUGGGCGGGAGCCUGAACCAGCCAAGUCGCGUGAAGGAAGAAGGAUCUAUGGUUCGUAAACUUCUUUUGCAGGGGAAUAAAGUGCAGGACGUGUCCUGUUUUGUAUGUACCCUGAGAAUAAGGAUCGGCUAACUCCGUGCCAGCAGCCGCGGUAAUACGGAGGAUCCGAGCGUUAUCCGGAUUUAUUGGGUUUAAAGGGUGCGUAGGUGGUUUGAUAAGUCAGCGGUGAAAGUUUGCAGCUUAACUGUAAAAAUGCCGUUGAAACUGUCGGACUUGAGUGUAAAUGAGGUAGGCGGAAUGCGUGGUGUAGCGGUGAAAUGCAUAGAUAUCACGCAGAACUCCGAUUGCGAAGGCAGCUUACUAAGCUACAACUGACACUGAAGCACGAAAGCGUGGGGAUCAAACAGGAUUAGAUACCCUGGUAGUCCACACUGUAAACGAUGAUAACUCGCUGUCGGCGAUACAUAGUCGGUGGCCAAGCGAAAGCGAUAAGUUAUCCACCUGGGGAGUACGACCGCAAGGUUGAAACUCAAAGGAAUUGACGGGGCCCGCACAAGCGGAAGAACAUGUGGUUUAAUUCGAUGAUACGCGAGGACCCUUACCCGGGUUUGAACGUAGGGAGACAGGAGUGAACAUUCUUUUCAGCAAUGACUGCUACGAGUGCUGCAUGUGUCGUCAGCUCGUGC
rnacentral:rRNA from 1 species